CGUGGGUGAUCUGCCCUGCACUUUGGGAUAAGCCUGGGAAACUGGGUCUAAUACCGAAUAUACCCUGCUGGUCGCAUGGCCUGGUAGGGGAAAGCUUUUGCGGUGUGGGAUGGGCCCGCGGCCUAUCAGCUUGUUGGUGGGGUGAUGGCCUACCAAGGCGACGACGGGUAGCCGGCCUGAGAGGGUGACCGGCCACACUGGGACUGAGAUACGGCCCAGACUCCUACGGGAGGCAGCAGUGGGGAAUAUUGCACAAUGGGCGCAAGCCUGAUGCAGCGACGCCGCGUGAGGGAUGACGGCCUUCGGGUUGUAAACCUCUUUCAGCACAGACGAAGCGCAAGUGACGGUAUGUGCAGAAGAAGGACCGGCCAACUACGUGCCAGCAGCCGCGGUAAUACGUAGGGUCCGAGCGUUGUCCGGAAUUACUGGGCGUAAAGAGCUCGUAGGUGGUUUGUCGCGUUGUUCGUGAAAACUCACAGCUUAACUGUGGGCGUGCGGGCGAUACGGGCAGA
rnacentral:rRNA from 1 species